ACACGAAUGGUGUAACGGUAACAUUGGGUCUUCCCAUCCUUGAGUAGAAUUGGCCUAGCUUCGGGUUCGAUUCCCGGUUCGUGUA